rnacentral:rRNA from 1 species
ACGGGUGGUAAUGCCGGAUGUUCCACAUGAUCGCAUGUGAUUGUGGGAAAGAUUCUAUCGGCGUGGGAUGGGGUCGCGUCCUAUCAGCUUGUUGGUGAGGUAACGGCUCACCAAGGCUUCGACGGGUAGCCGGCCUGAGAGGGCGACCGGCCACAUUGGGACUGAGAUACGGCCCAGACUCCUACGGGAGGCAGCAGUGGGGAAUAUUGCACAAUGGGCGCAAGCCUGAUGCAGCGACGCCGCGUGAGGGAUGGAGGCCUUCGGGUUGUAAACCUCUUUUGUUUGGGAGCAAGCCUUCGGGUGAGUGUACCUUUCGAAUAAGCGCCGGCUAACUACGUGCCAGCAGCCGCGGUAAUACGUAGGGCGCAAGCGUUAUCCGGAUUUAUUGGGCGUAAAGGGCUCGUAGGCGGCUCGUCGCGUCCGGUGUGAAAGUCCAUCGCUUAACGGUGGAUCUGCGCCGGGUACGGGCGGGCUGGAGUGCGGUAGGGGAGACUGGAAUUCCCGGUGUAACGGUGGAAUGUGUAGAUAUCGGAAAAGAACAC